CAAUAAAAAAACAAACAGCUCUGUUACGGGGCUACAAAACCCCAGGUCCACGUGAACUCGUAACGUAAAACAGGAAGCCCAGAGCCACGCCCGCCGAGGGCGUCCGCCACUCCCCGCGGUUACCCGGGCACCGGGGCGGGAACGGGGCGCGCCGGGCUCCGGGCGAGGACCCGUCCCUGCCGCGCAGCUUCUCGGCUGCGGGACCCGGAGCCGCGCCGACCUCGGCCCCGCCCGGGCGUUAGCGUGACCCGGGGCCGGUGCGCGGUGAACGCCCGGCGGCCUGCCCCGCGGGCUCCAGGGGCUGUGCUCUCGCGCGCAUGGCGAGUGGCGCUUUCCCUGGCUGCUCACAGAGGCCAGAGGGACUAAGAUGGUGUCCGUUGGGCGCCCCGGGAGCGGCCUCCAGAAGGAUUUACGGACCCGGCAGCCGGAGGUAGGAAGUGGGGAGCCCAGAAGUCCCGCGCCCCCACGGCCAAAGCACAGCCGAGUACGCUCCCCGACGGAACCGGUGUUUGCGGGCAGAACGCCCGAAGCCCGGAGAGGCGGGGCGGGAUUCUGAUCACCAUCUCGCGACGUCUCAGUGACGUCGCACAGCAGUCGCGUGUUCCACUCUUUCACCUUCAGUCCACUCCCUCAGUACGUGGGCCUACCCCUUUAAGCGAGUGAUUGACAGUUAUUUCAGCCAUUCAACGUCCCUAGCACCAUCCAAUCAGAUUUAAACUUCUCUCAGCCGCCAAAGGAGUUGGAAAAAGGGAUCGAAAGAGGGAGAGCUCUUUCGCGCGAGAUCGCUGUGAGGCGGCCUCUGAGGGGAAGAAAACGCCAGAAAAGAUGGCCCGACCUUCCGAGUAGUGGAUUAAAGGACGGGGUCGAAAACCAAUAAAAGGGAUGAGGAGGUGGGAUCAUUGCUUUCCGGAGCCAGAAGUACCGUUACAGGGCACACUUCUUGUCCAAUCAACGCCUCCAGACUUUGGCUCAGGUGACCACAGAGUGCGAGGGGCGGAGCUACAGCCUGGCGCGAGGAACCGUUAAGAUGGACAACGAAUGUAGCCAAUGAGGUACUCCGACUGAGGCGUUGGGAACCCAAUAACAGUGGCCGGGCGGGCGCCUUCCCGGAGCGCGGGGAGAUGUAAAGACAGACAAGUAGUUUUCCCAAUGAGGCUGUAGAAGAGGGGAGCUACUUGGCCAAUGGAGGCGGCGGGGCGGGAUCCUUUGCAGCGGCGGAGCCCAAGAUGGCGGCAUGCGGUUCCGCUGUGUGAAACCAGCGCGGGGCGGCGGGUUCUUCAGCUCCGCGGAGACGACCUCCGGCGACCCGCAGCAAUGAAGGGGAAAGAGCGCUCUCCAGUCAAAUCCAAGCGCUCCCGUGGUGGUGAGGAUUCGACUUCCCGUGGGGAGCGGAGCAAGAAGUUAGGGGGCUCUGGCGGCAGCAAUGGGAGCAGCAGCGGUAAGACCGACGGCGGCGGCGGCGGGUCGCGGCGCAGCCUCCAUCUCGACAAGUCCAGCAGCCGAGGCGGCAGCCGCGAGUAUGACACGGGAGGGGGCAGCUCCAGUAGCCGCUUGCACAGUUACAGCUCCCCGAGCGCUAAAAAUUCCUCGGGCGGGGGCGAGUCGCGCGGCAGCUCCCGAGGUGGAGGCGGGGAGUCACGUUCCUCGGGGGCCGCCUCCUCCGCUGCCGACGGCGGCGAGUACAAGACCCUGAAGAUCAGCGAGCUGGGGUCCCAGCUGAGUGACGAAGCGGUGGAGGACGGGCUGUUCCACGAGUUCAAACGCUUCGGUGAUGUGAGUGUCAAAAUCAGCCAUCUCUCGGGUUCGGGCGGCGGGGACGAGCGCGUCGCCUUUGUGAACUUCCGGCGGUCAGAGGACGCGCGGGCGGCCAAGCAUGCCAGAGGCCGCCUGGUGCUCUAUGACCGGCCCCUGAAGAUAGAAGCCGUGUACGUGAGCCGGCGCCGCAGCCGCUCCCCCCUGGACAAGGAUUCUUACCCGCCGUCCUCCAGCGUGGUCGGGGCCUCGGUCGGCGGCCACCGGCACGCCCCGGGCGGAGGGGGCGGAGGCCAGAGAUCACUGUCCCCCGGCGGGGCGGCCUUAGGAUACAGAGACUACCGAUUGCAGCAGUUGGCCCUUGGCCGCCUGCCCCCGCCGCCGCCGCCACCCUUGCCCCGGGACCUGGAGCGGGAGCGGGACUACCCGUUCUAUGAGAGAGUGCGCCCGGCCUACAACCUCGAGCCCCGGGUGGGCGCUGGAGCAGGUGCUGCUCCUUUCAGAGAAGUGGAUGAGAUCUCACCGGAGGAUGAUCAGCGAGCUAACAGGACGCUUUUCCUGGGCAACCUGGACAUCACUGUGACCGAGAGCGAUCUAAGGAGGGCCUUUGAUCGCUUCGGAGUCAUCACCGAAGUAGACAUCAAGAGGCCUUCUCGGGGCCAGACCAGUACCUACGGCUUUCUCAAAUUUGAGAACCUAGACAUGUCUCACCGAGCCAAAGUAGCAAUGUCUGGCAAGAUUAUAAUCCGGAAUCCUAUCAAAAUUGGUUAUGGUAAAGCUACACCCACCACCCGCCUCUGGGUAGGUGGCCUGGGACCUUGGGUGCCUCUUGCUGCCCUGGCACGAGAAUUUGACCGAUUUGGCACUAUACGCACCAUAGACUACCGCAAAGGUGAUAGUUGGGCCUAUAUCCAGUAUGAAAGCCUAGAUGCCGCUCAUGCUGCCUGGACCCAUAUGCGGGGCUUUCCACUUGGUGGUCCAGAUCGCCGCCUCAGAGUAGACUUUGCAGACACAGAACAUCGGUACCACCAGCAGUAUCUGCAGCCUCUGCCCUUAACUCAUUAUGACUUGGUGACAGAUGCUUUUGGACAUCGGGCACCUGACCCUUUGAGGGGUGCGAGGGAUAGGACACCACCCUUACUAUACAGAGAUUGUGAUAGGGACCUUUAUUCUGACUCUGAUUGGGUGCCGCCCCCGCCCCCAGUCCGGGAACGCAGCACUCGGACUGCCCCUACUUCUGUGCCUGCUUAUGAGCCACUGGAUAGCCUGGAUCGCAGGCGGGAUGGCUGGUCCUUGGACCGGGACAGAGGUGAUCGAGAUCUGCCCAGCAGCAGAGACCAGCCCAGGAAGCGAAGGCUGCCUGAGGACAGUGGGGGACGGCAUCUGGAUAGGUCCCCUGAGAGCGACCGUCCUCGGAAACGUCACUGCGUUCCUUCUCCUGAUCGCAGUCCAGACUUGAGCAGUAGCAGGGAUCGCUACAACAGUGACAAUGAUCGAUCUUCUCGUCUUCUUCUCUUGGAAAGGCCCUCUCCAAUCAAAGACAGACGAGGUAGUUUGGAGAAAAGCCAGGGUGACAAGCGAGACCGCAAAAACUCUGCAUCAGUUGAACGUGAUAGGAAGCAUCGGACAGCUGCUCCCACCGAGGGAAAAAGCCCUCUGAAAAAAGAAGACCGGUCUGAUGGGAGUGCAGCCAGCACCAGCACUGUUUCUUCAAAGCUGAAGCCCCCUUCCCAGAAACAGGAUGGUGGGACAGCUCCUGCUGCAGCCGCCUCUCCCAAGCUCUGUUUGGCCUGGCAGGGCAUGCUUCUGUUGAAGAACAGCAACUUUCCUUCCAACAUGCAUCUGUUGCAGGGCGACCUCCAAGUGGCUAGUAGUCUUCUCGUGGAGGGCUCCAGUGGAGGCAAAGUUGCCCAGCUCAAGAUCACUCAGCGUCUUCGUUUGGACCAGCCCAAGUUGGAUGAAGUAACUCGACGCAUCAAAGUGGCAGGGCCCAAUGGUUAUGCCAUUCUUCUGGCUGUGCCUGGAAGUUCUGACGGCAGAUCCUCUUCCUCCGCCACAUCAGAUACUGCCACCUCUACUCAGAGGCCACUAAGGAACCUGGUGUCCUAUUUAAAGCAAAAGCAGGCUGCUGGGGUGAUCAGCCUCCCCGUGGGGGGCAACAAAGACAAGGAAAACACCGGGGUCCUUCAUGCCUUCCCACCCUGUGAGUUCUCCCAGCAGUUCCUGGAUUCUCCUGCCAAGGCACUGGCCAAAUCUGAAGAAGAUUACCUGGUCAUGAUCAUUGUCCGUGCUGAGGCGUUACUUGCUGCUGCUCAGAUCUUGUAUGUCUUGAGCAAGAAGCAGGGAGACCAUCACUUUGACUUACCGCGGUGUGUCAAUUCUGAAGGAUCACUAGUGUUACUGUGACCCCCUUUGUUUGCAGCGAAGGGGAUCAUUUGCUUCUCGGUCCUCAACUUGAUGAGGAAAUGGUGCUGUUGGCUGGCACGAAAGAAGCCGGGGCGAGCACCGUAAGCCUCACCACAGUGCACGAGUCGGGGGCUUUGCUGGUUUGAAGAGCCGGAGUUGCUGAAAUUUAAGUUUUGAUUUAUUUUGUUCACCUGUCACGUUUGGCCUUAGUUUCAUUUUUAAUUUGAAGAAAAGUUUGCAAUUGCUUUAUCUUGCACUUAACAUUUGCACCAAAUUGCCAAAAGAAGGAGAAUGCUCCGUUUGCUUUUUAAAUGUUAAUGAUGAUGUUAAUAAAGCCUUUCCUGACACAUUUGAGGAGCUCCUCCGUCUCCAGGGGCUUCUCACCAGAGGUAUGCAGUGAUGGGUUUAGUUCUGAAUGGAUGAAGAGUUCCUGAGAGCUAGCGUUUGUAAUUAGAACCGUUACUUGGUAUCUGUGCCUUAUUUGACCUGUGGUUCCACAUGCCUUGGAUGUGCAUGCACCGUGACGGUUUCAUAGGUACGAACGCACACUCAGGCCCAGACACCUCGGUCGGUAGUACAGAUUGUGAGGAAAAAAUGGAGGCAUCCUUAAGGAGGAAAAGUGUUUGCCUUUAGUUCCUGCGUUAUCCUGCACAGGGGGUCCUGAGCUUUGGAAGCUGUUCCCAGUGCAGGAGAACAACUCCCCUGUUUGCAGCAGGAGACUUCGGUGCACAGUGACAACGCUGGAGUUCAAGAGGAAGCCAGCAAUGCUGCACCAUUGGCUUCAGACACCAUUGUUGUUUGCCAGUUGUAAACUUAACUAGUUGCAGACGAAGACCACCUUGACAUGCAGGCUUGUUGGGCUUGUUUUGAAUUUUAACCUCGGAUGGAAGAGCCUAGUGCUGUCUGUCUCCAUGCGGGAUGAUGAUUACUUAGGCAACAGGUGAUUACCAACAAAGGAUGCCACGCUUAUACUCUGCAAGGUGGUGUUCCAGUGGCAAACAGCUGUAUAAGCUCUUGUAAACAGGUUCUCAAUGUGUCUUACAAGAGUUUUUAAACAUCUGCUUAAGAAUUGGCUGCCAUCUAAAGCUUUGCUAAAUGAUCGCUUACCUACAUGUCUAAAGGUUUUUAUACCUGUUAGGAAUGUCAAUUUCCAGUGCAUUUUCUUUCUCUGGUUAGUUCAUACUGAAAGCCCAUUAAGUAAUUUUUCCAGUUAUUAAACAAGUAUUUUAAAUUACUAUAGCGAUUUGAGGAAGAUUAUGUUACACUCUACAUAUUUCUGCAUAUUUGGUAUCUUUCUAAGAUCUUAGACUUCCUCUCAGGAAUUAGAAGAAAUGUUGCACCAAGUUAUUUGCUUAUUUGUAUAUGAAACUGUAUGCAAAAUGGAAAGGUCCACAGUAUGACAGUUUUGAAAUUAGUCAAGAAGUUUUAUUGCCAGCUAUACUGGGAAAGAAAAAUUAAUUAGGUCAACUGUUAGAUCUAGGGUUCUGGUUUUAUAAAUUGGAAACCGCCCUUCUGAAAUAUUGGUGUGGUUUCCCAAUGUCUUUCAUAUGAUCUAAAUUUAGGGUUCUACUCUAAAGGAAAUAGUUCCAUGAACAUCUCUGAAUUGAUUUGUGCUCAUGUUGGGAAGCCCCGCUGUGAGUGUUAAAAUUGAAAAUAGGGAUUACCCUGACUUUGGUAAAUCAACCUUGAUUUUGUAAAUUGCCACUUCUGUAGGUUAAGUUAUAUUGUUGUUUCCAAGUUGUUUAUCUCAGGCAAUAAAUUUAGUACUUAUAACCCCCUGGCAAUGGGCAAGGAGACACCUGAUUGGUGGUGUUGCUCUUAUAUCAGUCAGGGGCAAAGCAGAUGUACAGUCCUUAGUUCAUCCUAGCUUGAUGCCUGUGUCGGUGGCCAGAGCUAUUUCAUGCCUGAGGCACAUAAAAAAAAUUUUUAGUACUUAAUGACUUGUAUAACAUCUAUUUUCUUUUUGCAAUAGGAUAUCCGAUUGUGGCUUGUCUGACCACCACCUUCAUCUCCCAUCUUACUCCCUUUAAGCUUCCCUGGUUAAAAGACCCUUUUACUUAGUAACUUGAAUUAUAACCUAGUUUUAAAUUGUUAGCAGAGGAAUUUAUUGAAUAACAAAAUUCCUUCAAACCUCAGACAAGAUUGUUCUUAGCAAGUAAGAAGAGAUUUUGACCUUGAAGUAAAGUGACAUAACCAUAAACAGGUAAAUAGUUAAAUAUCAGGAGAAAAAUUCACAGUUUAAAACAACUAUAGGAGAGAUGUCACAAUAUUUCAGUUGGUUUACUAAUGAAUUUUCACAGGUGAUAGGGGUAUAUGAAUGAGUAGAUGAAGUUUAAGGUUACUUUAAGCUAGAAUGGUCAUAAAAAGCCUUACAAAAGAAUUUGUUAGUUGGAGAAGGAUGUGGAAUGGGGGAGGGAGGUUGGGAUUAAGAUGUCAGGCAGACAAGCAUGAAUCACAAUCCAGCAGCCUGUUGUUUGAUGGAAAAGAUGCAGGCUGAAGCUUGGAAAAGGAGUAAAAUGGUUGGGUCAACAAAAACAGAAUCCUGAGGAUAAGCCAGUUUGAGGAGGGCACGGAGUGAGGAUGCAUAACCAGUUGAAACAUGUUGAUUAAAAGUAACAGUAUUAAUAAUAGGAAUCAUUUAUCAAAUACCCCCUUCAGGCCAACAUUCUGCCAGGUUCUAUUACACAUUGUCUCAUGUCUCACCACAGACCAUAAUCUGAUAGCUAGUAAGUGAUAGAACCAGAAUUCUAACCAGGCCUUUAUUGUCACUGUACUGUCACAGUUCGCUCCUCUGCGGGCUGGGAUGGGAUUGAAGCUCUAACCUUACGCAUAUGGGCAAUAGAUUUCAAGCUACAGAGUGUGUCAACAUUCAUAGCUCUUGGGAAACAUACAGGUCCUCAACUCCAAUCCCAGACAUUCUGGGAUUUGUUAGGGCCAGCAUGGCCCAGGAGCCUGUUCUUUCACAAGCUCCCCAGGUAAAUUCUGCUGUAAUCUAUGGUCAGUGGCCGCAUGUUGAGCAACACUGGCCCACAGAGUGGAGUGCUGAAGUAUGUACAUAUUUAAGACAUGGGAAGGGAACAUGGUGCUGGGAAAGAGGCCCCGGUAGGAGAGCCAGAAUAGUGUUCUGUCUCUGGAGCUGAAACGAGGCCCUUCCAGAUGAUGAAUUAAAGCUGUUGCAGAGACAAGCAGAAUGAAACGACAAAUGCCAUGGAAUUUAUCACGAAGAGUGUCACUUAAGUAACAGUUUUAUAGUCAUGUGAUUAUUUCCUCAAGGAAUUCAGUCUUGCUUAGUAUUUAAUUUUGCCUUAGAACAGUCCGUGAAGAAGGGCCACUGUGUAGUUUAUGAUAUGCUAAAGGGAUACCGGAAAAGUUUGUGACUUGGCUAAGGGAUACAAAGCCAGGACCUGAUUGAGAUAUCCUUGAGUUUGCAGAUGUUAAUCUAAAAGUAACGUGACUAUAGUCUAACUUAAAUUAAAAUUGCAGGUGAUUCUAGGAUUGCAUGUGUAUGGACACAUGUAAGUUAUUUUCCAUGAAUGAACAUCACCUGUCAACUACCUUCUAACUAGGUUACUAGUAGUAUGGAGACAAUGGAAUCAUAGGUAAAGUUGAGUGUAUUUUUGACUUGUAAAUAGUUGAAAGAUUUCCUAUUUUGAAUUAGGCAUACUGGGUUGUCUUCAAUUAAUGUAGCUAAUUCUUCAAAUAUUUAUAUAUUUUAUUGAUUUUUUACAGAGAGGAAGGGAG